rnacentral:tRNA from 1 species
GAGGGUAUAGCUCAGUGGUACGGUGUGUGGCUAGUAUGCAUGAGUCCUGGGUUCAAUCCCCAGUACCUCCA